rnacentral:rRNA from 1 species
AGCUUAAGACAUUGCCUGUUUUUCAAAAACAUAGUCUUUUGGUGUUUUAUAAAAGAUGUUUUCUGCUCAGUGGUAAAUAAAUAGCCGCGGUAAUUUGACCGUGCAAAGGUAGCAUAAUCAUUUGCUCUAUAAUUGAGGGCUGGAAUGAAUGGGAUAACAAGAUGUCUGCUUUAUUUUGGAGAAAAAAAGAAUUUGCUUUUUUAGUGAAGAAGCUAGGAUUUAGUUGGGGGACAAGAAGACCCUUUUGAGCUUUAUUAAUGAUGUUUUUUUUAAUUAUUUUUAAUUUGGUUGGGGCGACCAAGGAAGAGAGGAUCUUCCUUUUUUACUUUGAUCCGGAGGUUUCGAGUGAUGGACUAAGCUACCAAAGGGAUAACAGCGUAAUUUUUUUUAUGAGUUCUUAUUAAAAAAAAAGAUUGCGACCUCGAUGUUGACUUAUGGUUACCUUUUGGUGUAGCAGCUAUUCGGGUAGGUCUGUUCGACCUUUAAAACCUU